ACGAACGCUGGCGGCAGGCCUAACACCUGCAAGUCGAGCGCCCUUUCGGGGGAGCGGCGGACGGGUGAGUAACGCGUGGGAAUAUGCCCUUCUCUACGGAAUAGCCUCGGGAAACUGAGAGUAAUACCGUAUACGCCCUAUGGGGGAAAGAUUUAUCGGGGAAGGAUUAGCCCGCGUUGGAUUAGGUAGUUGGUGGGGUAAUGGCCUACCAAGCCGACGAUCCAUAGCUGGUUUGAGAGGAUGAUCAGCCACACUGGGACUGAGACACGGCCCAGACUCCUACGGGAGGCAGCAGUGGGGAAUCUUAGACAAUGGGGGCAACCCUGAUCUAGCCAUGCCGCGUGAGUGAUGAAGGCCUUAGGGUUGUAAAGCUCUUUCAGCUGGGAAGAUAAUGACGGUACCAGCAGAAGAAGCCCCGGCUAACUCCGUG
rnacentral:rRNA from 1 species